rnacentral:lncRNA from 1 species
CGGGGCUGGAAGCUUCCUGACUGAAGAUCUCUCUGCACUUGGGGUUCUUUCUAGAACAUUUUCUAGUCCCCCAACACCCUUUAUGGCGUAUUUCUUUAAAAAAAUCACCUAAAUUCCAUAAAAUAUUUUUUUAAAUUCUAUACUUUCUCCUAGUGUCUUCUUGACACGUCCUCCAUAUUUUUUUAAAGAAAGUAUUUGGAAUAUUUUGAGGCAAUUUUUAAUAUUUAAGGAAUUUUUCUUUGGAAUCAUUUUUGGUUGACAUCUCUGUUUUUUGUGGAUCAGUUUUUUACUCUUCCACUCUCUUUUCUAUAUUUUGCCCAUCGGGGCUGCGGAUACCUGGUUUUAUUAUUUUUUCUUUGCCCAACGGGGCCGUGGAUACCUGCCUUUUAAUUCUUUUUUAUUCGCCCAUCGGGGCCGCGGAUACCUGCUUUUUAUUUUUUUUUCCUUAGCCCAUCGGGGUAUCGGAUACCUGCUGAUUCCCUUCCCCUCUGAACCCCCAACACUCUGGCCCAUCGGGGUGACGGAUAUCUGCUUUUUAAAAAUUUUCUUUUUUUGGCCCAUCGGGGCUUCGGAUACCUGCUUUUUUUUUUUUUAUUUUUCCUUGCCCAUCGGGGCCUCGGAUACCUGCUUUAAUUUUUGUUUUUCUGGCCCAUCGGGGCCGCGGAUACCUGCUUUGAUUUUUUUUUUUCAUCGCCCAUCGGUGCUUUUUAUGGAUGAAAAAAUGUUGGUUUUGUGGGUUGUUGCACUCUCUGGAAUAUCUACACUUUUUUUUGCUGCUGAUCAUUUGGUGGUGUGUGAGUGUACCUACCGCUUUGGCAGAGAAUGACUCUGCAGUUAAGCUAAGGGCGUGUUCAGAUUGUGGAGGAAAAGUGGCCGCCAUUUUAGACUUGCCGCAUAACUCGGCUUAGGGCUAGUCGUUUGUGCUAAGUUAAACUAGGGAGGCAAGAUGGAUGAUAGCAGGUCAGGCAGAGGAAGUCAUGUGCAUUGCAUGAGCUAAACCUAUCUGAAUGAAUUGAUUUGGGGCUUGUUAGGAGCUUUGCGUGAUUGUUGUAUCGGGAGGCAGUAAGAAUCAUCUUUUAUCAGUACAAGGGACUAGUUAAAAAUGGAAGGUUAGGAAAGACUAAGGUGCAGGGCUUAAAAUGGCGAUUUUGACAUUGCGGCAUUGCUCAGCAUGGCGGGCUGUGCUUUGUUAGGUUGUCCAAAAUGGCGGAUCCAGUUCUGUCGCAGUGUUCAAGUGGCGGGAAGGCCACAUCAUGAUGGGCGAGGCUUUGUUAAGUGGUUAGCAUGGUGGUGGACAUGUGCGGUCACACAGGAAAAGAUGGCGGCUGAAGGUCUUGCCGCAGUGUAAAACAUGGCGGGCCUCUUUGUCUUUGCUGUGUGCUUUUCGUGUUGGGUUUUGCCGCAGGGACAAUAUGGCAGGCGUUGUCAUAUGUAUAUCAUGGCUUUUGUCACGUGGACAUCAUGGCGGGCUUGCCGCAUUGUUAAAGAUGGCGGGUUUUGCCGCCUAGUGCCACGCAGAGCGGGAGAAAAGGUGGGAUGGACAGUGCUGGAUUGCUGCAUAACCCAACCAAUUAGAAAUGGGGGUGGAAUUGAUCACAGCCAAUUAGAGCAGAAGAUGGAAUUAGACUGAUGACACACUGUCCAGCUACUCAGCGAAGACCUGGGUGAAUUAGCAUGGCACUUCGCAGCUGUCUUUAGCCAGUCAGGAGAAAGAAGUGGAGGGGCCACGUGUAUGUCUCCCAGUGGGCGGUACACCAGGUGUUUUCAAGGUCUUUUCAAGGACAUUUAGCCUUUCCACCUCUGUCCCCUCUUAUUUGUCCCCUCCUGUCCAGUGCUGCCUCUUGCAGUGCUGGAUAUCUGGCUGUGUGGUCUGAACCUCCCUCCAUUCCUCUGUAUUGGUGCCUCACCUAAGGCUAAGUAUACCUCCCCCCCCACCCCCCAACCCCCCCAACUCCCCACCCCCACCCCCCACCCCCCACCUCCCCACCCCCCUACCCCCCUACCCCCCUACCCCCCUCUGGUCUGCCCUGCACUGCACUGUUGCCAUGGGCAGUGCUCCAGGCCUGCUUGGUGUGGACAUGGUGGUGAGCCGUGGCAAGGACCAGAAUGGAUCACAGAUGAUCGUUGGCCAACAGGUGGCAGAAGAGGAAUUCCUGCCUUCCUCAAGAGGAACACCUACCCCUUGGCUAAUGCUGGGGUCGGAUUUUGAUUUAUAUUUAUCUUUUGGAUGUCAGUCAUACAGUCUGAUUUUGUGGUUUGCUAGUGUUUGAAUUUAAGUCUUAAGUGACUAUUAUAGAAAUGUAUUAAGAGGCUUUAUUUGUAGAAUUCACUUUAAUUACAUUUAAUGAGUUUUUGUUUUGAGUUCCUUAAAAUUCCUUAAAGUUUUUAGCUUCUCAUUACAAAUUCCUUAACCUUUUUUUGGCAGUAGAUAGUCAAAGUCAAAUCAUUUCUAAUGUUUUAAAAAUGUGCUGGUCAUUUUCUUUGAAAUUGACUUAACUAUUUUCCUUUGAAGAGUCUGUAGCACAGAAACAGUAAAAAAUUUAACUUCAUGACCUAAUGUAAAAAAGAGUGUUUGAAGGUUUACACAGGUCCAGGCCUUGCUUUGUUCCCAUCCUUGAUGCUGCACUAAUUGACUAAUCACCUACUUAUCAGACAGGAAACUUGAAUUGCUGUGGUCUGGUGUCCUCUAUUCAGACUUAUUAUAUUGGAGUAUUUCAAUUUUUCGUUGUAUCCUGCCUGCCUAGCAUCCAGUUCCUCCCCAGCCCUGCUCCCAGCAAACCCCUAGUCUAGCCCCAGCCCUACUCCCACCCCGCCCCAGCCCUGCCCCAGCCCCAGUCCCCUAACCCCCCAGCCCUAGCCCCAGUCCCAGUCCUAGUUCCUCAGUCCCGCCCAGCUUCUCUCGAAAGUCACUCUAAUUUUCAUUGAUUCAGUGCUCAAAAUAAGUUGUCCAUUGCUUAUCCUAUUAUACUGGGAUAUUCCGUUUACCCUUGGCAUUGCUGAUCUUCAGUACUGACUCCUUGACCAUUUUCAGUUAAUGCAUACAAUCCCAUUUGUCUGUGAUCUCAGGACAAAGAAUUUCCUUACUCGGUACGUUGAAGUUAGGGAAUGUCAAUUGAGAGCUUUCUAUCAGAGCAUUAUUGCCCACAAUUUGAGUUACUUAUCAUUUUCUCGAUCCCCUGCCCUUAAAGGAGAAACCAUUUCUCUGUCAUUGCUUCUGUAGUCACAGUCCCAAUUUUGAGUAGUGAUCUUUUCUUGUGUACUGUGUUGGCCACCUAAAACUCUUUGCAUUGAGUAAAAUUCUAAUUGCCAAUAAUCCUACCCAUUGGAUUAGACAGCACUCUGAACCCCAUUUGCAUUCAGCAGGGGGUCGCAGACAACCCGUCUUUUGUUGGACAGUUAAAAUGCUCAGUCCCAAUUGUCAUAGCUUUGCCUAUUAAACAAAGGCACCCUACUGCGCUUUUUGCUGUGCUUCUGGAGAAUCCUGCUGUUCUUGGACAAUUAAAGAACAAAGUAGUAAUUGCUAAUUGUCUCACCCAUUAAUCAUGAAGACUACCAGUCGCCCUUGCAUUUGCCUUGAGGCAGCGCUGACUACCUGAGAUUUAAGAGUUUCUUAAAUUAUUGAGUAAAAUCCCAAUUAUCCAUAGUUCUGUUAGUUACACUAUGGCCUUUGCAAACAUCUUUGCAUAACAGCAGUGGGACUGACUCAUUCUUAGAGCCCCUUCCCUUGGAAUAUUAAUGGAUACAAUAGUAAUUAUUCAUGGUUCUGCGUAACAGAGAAGACCCACUUAUGUGUAUGCCUUUAUCAUUGCUCCUAGAUAGUGUGAACUACCUACCACCUUGCAUUAAUAUGUAAAACACUAAUUGCCCAUAGUCCCACUCAUUAGUCUAGGAUGUCCUCUUUGCCAUUGCUGCUGAGUUCUGACUACCCAAGUUUCCUUCUCUUAAACAGUUGAUAUGCAUAAUUGCAUAUAUUCAUGGUUCUGUGCAAUAAAAAUGGAUUCUCACCCCAUCCCACCUUCUGUGGGAUGUUGCUAACGAGUGCAGAUUAUUCAAUAACAGCUCUUGAACAGUUAAUUUGCACAGUUGCAAUUGUCCAGAGUCCUGUCCAUUAGAAAGGGACUCUGUAUCCUAUUUGCACGCUACAAUGUGGGCUGAUCACCCAAGGACUCUUCUUGUGCAUUGAUGUUCAUAAUUGUAUUUGUCCACGAUCUUGUGCACUAACCCUUCCACUCCCUUUGUAUUCCAGCAGGGGACCCUUACUACUCAAGACCUCUGUACUAGGACAGUUUAUGUGCACAAUCCUAAUUGAUUAGAACUGAGUCUUUUAUAUCAAGGUCCCUGCAUCAUCUUUGCUUUACAUCAAGAGGGUGCUGGUUACCUAAUGCCCCUCCUCCAGAAAUUAUUGAUGUGCAAAAUGCAAUUUCCCUAUCUGCUGUUAGUCUGGGGUCUCAUCCCCUCAUAUUCCUUUUGUCUUACAGCAGGGGGUACUUGGGACUGUUAAUGCGCAUAAUUGCAAUUAUGGUCUUUUCCAUUAAAUUAAGAUCCCAACUGCUCACACCCUCUUAGCAUUACAGUAGAGGGUGCUAAUCACAAGGACAUUUCUUUUGUACUGUUAAUGUGCUACUUGCAUUUGUCCCUCUUCCUGUGCACUAAAGACCCCACUCACUUCCCUAGUGUUCAGCAGUGGAUGACCUCUAGUCAAGACCUUUGCACUAGGAUAGUUAAUGUGAACCAUGGCAACUGAUCACAACAAUGUCUUUCAGAUCAGAUCCAUUUUAUCCUCCUUGUUUUACAGCAAGGGAUAUUAAUUACCUAUGUUACCUUUCCCUGGGACUAUGAAUGUGCAAAAUUCCAAUGUUCAUGGUCUCUCCCUUUAAACCUAUAUUCUACCCCUUUUACAUUAUAGAAAGGGAUGCUGGAAACCCAGAGUCCUUCUCUUGGGACUCUUAAUGUGUAUUUCUAAUUAUCCAUGACUCUUAAUGUGCAUAUUUUCAAUUGCCUAAUUGAUUUCAAUUGUCUAAGACAUUUCAAAUGUCUAAUUGAUUAGAACUGAGUCUUUUAUAUCAAGCUAAUAUCUAGCUUUUAUAUCAAGCUAAUAUCUUGACUUCUCAGCAUCAUAGAAGGGGGUACUGAUUUCCUAAAGUCUUUCUUGAAUUUCUAUUAUGCAAAAUUGCCCUGAGGCCGGGUGUGGUGGCUCACACCUGUAAUCCCAGCACUUUGGGAGGCUGAGGUGGGAAGAUCCCUUACUGCCAGGAGUUUGAGACCAGCCUGGCCAACAUUAAAAAAAAAAAAAAGUAAGACAAUUGCCCUGGAAUCCCAUCCCCCUCACACCUCCUUGGCAAAGCAGCAGGAGUGCUAACUAGCUAGUGCUUCUUCUCUUAUACUGCUUAAAUGCGCAUAAUUAGCAGUAGUUGAUGUGCCCCUAUGUUAGAGUAGAAUCCCGCUUCCUUGCUCCAUUUGCAUUACUGCAGGAGCUUCUAACUAGCCUGAAUUCACUCUCUUGGACUGUUAAUGUGCAUACUUAUAUUUGCUGCUGUACUUUUUUACCAUGUAAGGACCCCACCCACUGUAUUUACAUCCCAGCUGGAAGUACCUACUACUUAAGACCCUUAGACUAGUAAAGUUAGCGUGCAUAAUCUUAGGUGUUAUAUACACAUUUUCAGUUGCAUACAGUUGUGCCUUUUAUCAGGACUCCUGUACUUAUCAAAGCAGAGAGUGCUAAUCAAUAUUAAGCCCUUCUCUUCGAACUGUAGAUGGCAUGUAAUUGCAGUUGUCAAUGGUCCUUCAAUUAGACUUGGGUUUCUGACCUAUCACACCCUCUUUGCUUUAUUGCAUGGGGUACUAUUCACUUAAGGCCCCUUUCUCAAACUGUUAAUGUGCCUAAUGACAAUUACAUCAGUAUCCUUCCUUUUGAAGGACAGCAUGGUUGGUGACACCUAAGGCCCCAUUUCUUGGCCUCCCAAUAUGUGUGAUUGUAUUUGUCGAGGUUGCUAUGCACUAGAGAAGGAAAGUGCUCCCCUCAUCCCCACUUUUCCCUUCCAGCAGGAAGUGCCCACCCCAUAAGACCCUUUUAUUUGGAGAGUCUAGGUGCACAAUUGUAAGUGACCACAAGCAUGCAUCUUGGACAUUUAUGUGCGUAAUCGCACACUGCUCAUUCCAUGUGAAUAAGGUCCUACUCUCCGACCCCUUUUGCAAUACAGAAGGGUUGCUGAUAACGCAGUCCCCUUUUCUUGGCAUGUUGUGUGUGAUUAUAAUCGUCUGGGAUCCUAUGCACUAGAAAAGGAGGGUCCUCUCCACAUACCUCAGUCUCACCUUUCCCUUCCAGCAGGGAGUGCCCACUCCAUAAGACUCUCACAUUUGGACAGUCAAGGUGCGUAAUUGUUAAGUGAACACAACCAUGCACCUUAGACAUGGAUUUGCAUAACUACACACAGCUCAACCUAUCUGAAUAAAAUCCUACUCUCAGACCCCUUUUGCAGUACAGCAGGGGUGCUGAUCACCAAGGCCCUUUUUCCUGGCCUGGUAUGCGUGUGAUUAUGUUUGUCCCGGUUCCUGUGUAUUAGACAUGGAAGCCUCCCCUGCCACACUCCACCCCCAAUCUUCCUUUCCCUUCCGGCAGGGAGUGCCCUCUCCAUAAGACGCUUACGUUUGGACAAUCAAGGUGCACAGUUGUAAGUGACCACAGGCAUACACCUUGGACAUUAAUGUGCAUAACCACUUUGCCCAUUCCAUCUGAAUAAGGUCCUACUCUCAGACCCCUUUUGCAGUACAGCAGGGGUGCUGAUCACCAAGGCCCCUUUUCUUGGCCUGUUAUGUGCGUGAUUAUAUUUGUCUGGGUUCCUGUGUAUUAGACAAGGAAGCCUUCCCCCCGCCCCCACCCCCACUCCCAGUCUUCCUUUCCCUUCCAGCAGGGAGUGCCCCCUCCAUAAGAUCAUUACAUUUGGACAAUCAAGGUGCACAAUUAUAAGUGACCACAGCCAUGCACCUUGGACAUUAUUGGACAUUAAUGUGCGUAACUGCACAUGGCCCAUCCCAUCUGAAUAAGGUCCUACUCUCAGAUGCCCUUUGCAGUACAGCAGGGGUACUGAAUCACCAAGGCCCUUUUUCUUGGCCUGUUAUGUGUGUGAUUAUAUUUAUCCCAGUUUCUGUGUAAUAGACAUGAAAGCCUCCCCUGCCACACCCCACCUCCAAUCUUCCUUUCCCUUCCACCAGGGAGUGUCCACUCCAUAUACCCUUACAUUUGGACAAUCAAGGUGCACAAUUGUAAGUGAGCAUAGGCACUCACCUUGGACAUGAAUGUGCAUAACUGCACAUGGCCCAUCCCAUCUGAAUAAGGUCCUACUCUCAGACCCUUUUUGCAGUACAGCAGGGGUGCUGAUCACCAAGGCCCCUUUUCCUGGCCUGUUAUGUGUGUGAUUAUAUUUGUUCCAGUUCCUGUGUAAUAGACAUGGAAGCCUCCCCUGCCACACUCCACCCCCAAUCUUCCUUUCCCUUCUGGCAGGAAGUACCCGCUCCAUAAGACCCUUACAUUUGGACAGUCAAGGUGCACAAUUGUAUGUGACCACAACCAUGCACCUUGGACAUAAAUGUGUGUAACUGCACAUGGCCCAUCCCAUCUGAAUAAGGUCCUACUCUCAGACCCCUUUUGCAGUACAGUAGGUGUGCUGAUAACCAAGGCCCCUCUUCCUGGCCUGUUAACGUAUGUGAUUAUAUUUGUCUGGGUUCCAGUGUAUAAGACAUGGAAGCCUCCCCUGCCCCACCCCACCCUCAAUCUUCCUUUCCCUUCUGGCAGGGAGUGCCAGCUCCAUAAGAACCUUACAUUUGGACAGUCAAGGUGCACAAUUCUAAGUGACCGCAGCCAUGCACCUUGGUCAAUAAUGUGUGUAACUGCACACGGCCUAUCUCAUCUGAAUAAGGCCUUACUCUCAGACCCCUUUUGCAGUACAGCAGGGGUGCUGAUAACCAAGGCCCAUUUUCCUGGCCUGUUAUGUGUGUGAUUAUAUUUGUCCAGGUUUCUGUGUACUAGACAAGGAAGCCUCCUCUGCCCCAUCCCAUCUACGCAUAAUCUUUCUUUUCCUCCCAGCAGGGAGUGCUCACUCCAUAAGACCCUUACAUUUGGACAAUCAAGGUGCACAAUUGUAAGUGACCACAACCAUGCAUCUUGGAAAUUUAUGUGCAUAACUGCACAUGGCUUAUCCUAUUUGAAUAAAGUCCUACUCUCAGACCCCCUUUGCAGUAUAGCUGGGGUGCUGAUCACUGAGGCCUCUUUGCUUGGCUUGUCUAUAUUCUUGUGUACUAGAUAAGGGCACCUUCUCAUGGACUCCCUUUGCUUUUCAACAAGGAGUACCCACUACUUUUUAAGAUUCUUAUAUUUGUCCAAAGUACAUGGUUUUAAUUGACCACAACAAUGUCCCUUGGACAUUAAUGUAUGUAAUCACCACAUGGUUCAUCCUAAUUAAACAAAGUUCUACCUUCUCACCCUCCAUUUGCAGUAUACCAGGGUUGCUGACCCCCUAAGUCCCCUUUUCUUGGCUUGUUGACAUGCAUAAUUGCAUUUAUGUUGGUUCUUGUGCCCUAGACAAGGAUGCCCCACCUCUUUUCAAUAGUGGGUGCCCACUCCUUAUGAUCUUUACAUUUGAACAGUUAAUGUGAAUAAUUGCAGUUGUCCACAACCCUAUCACUUCUAGGACCAUUAUACCUCUUUUGCAUUACUGUGGGGUAUACUGUUUCCCUCCAAGGCCCCUUCUGGUGGACUAUCAACAUAUAAUUGAAAUUUUCUUUUGUCUUUGUCAGUAGAUUAAGGUCAUACCCCAUCACCUUUCCUUUGUAGUACAACAGGGUGUCCUGAUCAACCAAAGUCCUGUUGUUUUGGACUGUUAAUAUGUGCAAUUACAUUUGCUCCUGAUCUGUGCACUAGAUAAGGAUCCUACCUACUUUCUUAGUGUUUUUAGCAGGUAGUGCCCACUACUCAAGACUGUCACUUGGAAUGUUCAUGUGCACAAACUCAAUUCUCUAAGCAUGUUCCUGUACCACCUUUGCUUUAGAGCAGGGGGAUGAUAUUCACUAAGUGCCCCUUCUUUUGGACUUAAUAUGCAUUAAUGCAAUUGUCCACCUCUUCUUUUAGACUAAGAGUUGAUCUCCACAUAUUCCCCUUGCAUCAGGGGCAUGUUAAUUAUGAAUGAACCCUUUUCUUUUAAUAUUAAUGUCAUAAUUGUAUUUGUGGACCUGUGUAGGAGAAAAAGACCCUAUGUUCCUCCCAUUACCCUUUGGAUUGCUGCUGAGAAGUGUUAACUACUCAUAAUCUCAGCUCUUGGACAAUUAAUAGCAUUAAUAACAAUUAUCAAGGGCACUGAUCAUUAGAUAAGACUCCUGCUUCCUCGUUGCUUACAUCGGGGGUACUGACCCACUAAGGCCCCUUGUACUGUUAAUGUGAAUAUUUGCAAUUAUAUAUGUCUCCUUCUGGUAGAGUGGGAUAUUAUGCCCUAGUAUCCCCUUUGCAUUACUGCAGGGGCUGCUGACUACUCAAAACUUCUCCUGGGACUGUUAAUAGGCACAAUGGCAGUUAUCAAUGGUUUUCUCCCUCCCUGACCUUGUUAAGCAAGCGCCCCACCCCACCCUUAGUUUCCCAUGGCAUAAUAAAGUAUAAGCAUUGGAGUAUUCCAUGCACUUGUCUAUCAAACAGUGGUCCAUACUCCCAACCCUUUUGCAUUGCGCCAGUGUGUAAAAUCACAGGUAGCCAUGGUGUCAUGCUUUAUAUACGAAGUCUUCCCUCUCUCUGCCCCUUGUGUGCCCUUGGCCCCUUUUUACAGACUAUUGCUCACAAUCUCAGGUGUCCAUAUUUGCAGCUAUUAGGUAAGAUUGUGCUGUCUCCCUCUUCCCUUCCCUCUGCCCUGCCCCUUUUGCCUCUUUGCUGGGUAAUGUUGACCAGACAAGGCCCUUUCUCUUGGACUUAAACAAUUCUCAGUUGCACUUUCCUUGGUCCCACCCAUUAUACAUGAACCCCUCUACUUCCUUUCGCAUUGCUUCUGAGUAUGCUGACUACCCAAAGCCCCUUCUGUGUUAUUAAUAAACACAGUACUGAUUGUCCCAUUUUUCAGCCCAUCAGUCCAAGAUCUCCCUACCACUUUGGUGUGUUGGUGCAGUGUUGACUAUGAAAAGCAGGCCUGAACUAGGUGGAUAAGCCUUCACUCAUUUUCUUUCAUUUAUUAAUGAUCCUAGUUUCAAUUAUUGUCAGAUUCUGGGGACAAGAACCAUUCUUGCCCACCUGUGUUACUGCUUUACUGUGCAAAAUACUGAAGGCAAGUCAGACCCAGGGAGCUGGAUUGCCAUCCUUUAUUUUGUGUUUCCAGUGUACACUAUAAAAUUGUCUCCCCAGGAAGGAAGGUUGGCACUUUCUCUGCAUUCUUCUUUCCAGAGCAGAUUGCCUGGUUAAGAAUCUCUUGUUGUCCCCUUUGUAUAUUGUUAUUGUAAAGUGCCAAAUGCCAGGAUACAGCCAGAAAAAUUGCUUAUUAUUAUUAAAAAAAUUUUUUUAAGAAAGACAUCUGGAUUGUAGGGUGGACUCGAUAACCUGGUCAUUAUUUUUUUGAAGCCAAAAUAUCCAUUUAUACUAUGUACCUGGUGACCAGUGUCUCUCAUUUUAACUGAGGGUGGUGGGUCUGUGGAUAGAACACUGACUCUUGCUAUUUUAAUAUCAAAGAUAUUCUAGAGUGGAACUCUUAAGACCAGUAUCUUUGUGUGGGCUUUACCAGCAUUCACUUUUAGAAAAACUACCUAAAUUUUAUAAUCCUUUAAUUUCUUCAUCUGGAGCACCUGCCCCUACUUAUUUCAAGAAGAUUGCAGUAAAACGAUUAAAUGAGGGAACAUAUGCAGAGGUGCUUUUAAAAAGCAUAUGCCACCUUUUUUAUUAAUUAUUAUAUAAAAUGAAGCAUUUAAUUAUAGUAAUAAUUUGAAGUAGUUUGAAGUACCACACUGAGGUGAGGACUUAAAAAUGAUAAGACGAGUUCCCUAUUUUAUAAGAAAAAUAAGCCAAAAUUAAAUAUUCUUUUGGAUAUAAAUUUCAACAGUGAGAUAGCUGCCUAGUGGAAAUGAAUAAUAUCCCAGCCACUAGUGUACAGGGUGUUUUGUGGCACAGGAUUAUGUAAUAUGGAACUGCUCAAGCAAAUAACUAGUCAUCACAACAGCAGUUCUUUGUAAUAACUGAAAAAGAAUAUUGUUUCUCGGAGAAGGAUGUCAAAAGAUCGGCCCAGCUCAGGGAGCAGUUUGCCCUACUAGCUCCUCGGACAGCUGUAAAGAAGAGUCUCUGGCUCUUUAGAAUACUGAUCCCAUUGAAGAUACCACGCUGCAUGUGUCCUUAGUAGUCAUGUCUCCUUAGGCUCCUCUUGAUCUUCCUCAGAAGAAUAGGCUUGUUGUUUUACAGUGUUAGUGAUCCAUUCCCUUUGACGAUCCCUAGGUGGAGAUGGGGCAUGAGGAUCCUCCAGGGGAAAAGCUCACUACCACUGGGCAACAACCCUAGGUCAGGAGGUUCUGUCAAGAUACUUUCCUGGUCCCAGAUAGGAAGAUAAAGUCUCAAAAACAACCACCACACGUCAAGCUCUUCAUUGUUCCUAUCUGCCAAAUCAUUAUACUUCCUACAAGCAGUGCAGAGAGCUGAGUCUUCAGCAGGUCCAAGAAAUUUGAACACACUGAAGGAAGUCAGCCUUCCCACCUGAAGAUCAACAUGCCUGGCACUCUAGCACUUGAGGAUAGCUGAAUGAAUGUGUAUUUCUUUGUCUCUUUCUUUCUUGUCUUUGCUCUUUGUUCUCUAUCUAAAGUGUGUCUUACCCAUUUCCAUGUUUCUCUUGCUAAUUUCUUUCGUGUGUGCCUUUGCCUCAUUUUCUCUUUUUGUUCACAAGAGUGGUCUGUGUCUUGUCUUAGACAUAUCUCUCAUUUUUCAUUUUGUUGCUAUUUCUCUUUGCUCUCCUAGAUGUGGCUCUUCUUUCACGCUUUAUUUCAUGUCUCCUUUUUGGGUCACAUGCUGUGUGCUUUUUGUCCUUUUCUUGUUCUGUCUACCUCUCCUUUCUCUGCCUACCUCUCUUUUCUCUUUGUGAACUGUGAUUAUUUGUUACCCCUUCCCCUUCUCGUUCGUUUUAAAUUUCACCUUUUUUCUGAGUCUGGCCUCCUUUCUGCUGUUUCUACUUUUUAUCUCACAUUUCUCAUUUCUGCAUUUCCUUUCUGCCUCUCUUGGGCUAUUCUCUCUCUCCUCCCCUGCGUGCCUCAGCAUCUCUUGCUGUUUGUGAUUUUCUAUUUCAGUAUUAAUCUCUGUUGGCUUGUAUUUGUUCUCUGCUUCUUCCCUUUCUACUCACCUUUGAGUAUUUCAGCCUCUUCAUGAAUCUAUCUCCCUCUCUUUGAUUUCAUGUAAUCUCUCCUUAAAUAUUUCUUUGCAUAUGUGGGCAAGUGUACGUGUGUGUGUGUCAUGUGUGGCAGAGGGGCUUCCUAACCCCUGCCUGAUAGGUGCAGAACGUCGGCUAUCAGAGCAAGCAUUGUGGAGCGGUUCCUUAUGCCAGGCUGCCAUGUGAGAUGAUCCAAGACCAAAACAAGGCCCUAGACUGCAGUAAAACCCAGAACUCAAGUAGGGCAGAAGGUGGAAGGCUCAUAUGGAUAGAAGGCCCAAAGUAUAAGACAGAUGGUUUGAGACUUGAGACCCGAGGACUAAGAUGGAAAGCCCAUGUUCCAAGAUAGAUAGAAGCCUCAGGCCUGAAACCAACAAAAGCCUCAAGAGCCAAGAAAACAGAGGGUGGCCUGAAUUGGACCGAAGGCCUGAGUUGGAUGGAAGUCUCAAGGCUUGAGUUAGAAGUCUUAAGACCUGGGACAGGACACAUGGAAGGCCUAAGAACUGAGACUUGUGACACAAGGCCAACGACCUAAGAUUAGCCCAGGGUUGUAGCUGGAAGACCUACAACCCAAGGAUGGAAGGCCCCUGUCACAAAGCCUACCUAGAUGGAUAGAGGACCCAAGCGAAAAAGUUUCUGGCAUCACUACCACUACUGAUUAAACAAGAAUAAGAGAACAUUUUAUCAUCAUCUGCUUUAUUCACAUAAAUGAAGUUGUGAUGAAUAAAUCUGCUUUUAUGCAGACACAAGGAAUUAAGUGGCUUCGUCAUUGUCCUUCUACCUCAAAGAUAAUUUAUUCCAAAAGCUAAGAUAAAUGGAAGACUCUUGAACUUGUGAACUGAUGUGAAAUGCAGAAUCUCUUUUGAGUCUUUGCUGUUUGGAAGAUUGAAAAAUAUUGUUCAGCAUGGGUGACCACCAGAAAGUAAUCUUAAGCCAUCUAGAUGUCACAAUUGAAACAAACUGGGGAGUUGGUUGCUAUUGUAAAAUAAAAUAUACUGUUUUGAAAACUUUGUAUUUUGAUGUGACAAUUUCUAACUCACUGUCCCUA